rnacentral:lncRNA from 1 species
GAUAAUAUCUAGGAGGAGGAUAAUAUCUAGGAGGAGGAUAAUAUCUAGGAGGAGAGGAGGAUAAUACCUAGGAGGACGAUAAUAUAUAGCAGGAUGAUAAUAUCUAGGAGGAGGAUAAUAUCUAGGAGGAGGAUGAUAUCUAGGAGGAGAGGAUAAUAUCUAGGAGGAGGAUAAUAUCUAGGAGGAGAGGAUAAUAUCUAGGAGGAGAGGAUAAUAUCUAGGAGGAGGGUAAUAUCUAGGAGGAGGAUAAUAUCUAGGAGGAGGAUAAUAUCUAGGAGGAGAGGAUAAUAUCUAGGAGGAGAGGAUAAUAUCUAGGAGGAGGAUAAUAUCUAGGAGGAGGGUAAUAUCUAGGAGGAGGAUAAUAUCUAGGAGGAGAGGAUAAUAUCUAGGAGGAGGAUAAUAUCUAGGAGGAGGGUAAUAUCUAGGAGGAG